rnacentral:rRNA from 1 species
CCAAAGGGCUUGGCGGUGUUUUAGACUUCUUAGGGGAGCUUGUUUCGUAAUCGACAAUCCACGAUAGACCUAACCUUUUUUUGUAUCCAGUAUGUAUACCGUUGUCGUCAGGUAACUUUUAAAAAUAUAAAAGCUAGCAAAUAAGUUUUUAACUUGUACGUCAAAUCAAGGUGCAACCCAUAAAAAGGAGAGAAUGAGCUACAAUUAAAAGUUAUAAUACGAAUAAAACACAUAAAAAGAAUUUGAAGGAGGACUUAAAAGUAAAAAAAUAAUCAUAAAAACUUUUUGAAUCUAGCUCUGAAACGUGCACACACCGCCCGUCAC